rnacentral:lncRNA from 1 species
CAGGGCCGUAACUACAUUGAGGCAAAUGAGGCAAAUGCCUCAUGUUAGAAAUUAAAAAAAAAAAAAAUGAAACAAAAAAUUGACUUCAUAUCAAAUUGUUUUCACGGAAAGUGUCUUGCAAGAGGCAAGUUCUCUUCACUCUCUGGUGUCGCUCCUGCAUGUUUUGCGUGAUUAUGUUUCUAUUCUACUUUUAGUUUUCAGAGUUGAUGGUCUAUUGUUUGUACUUUUGUGUCCCGUGUCUGUCUUUUGUUCAUUUAUUAUCCAACUUUAUGACUAUAGUCUGAGUGUUGAUUUUCAUUUGUAAACGUGUGGUUCUGCAAUGUUGCAUGUCCACCGAUGUCCAGACAUUGCUCGAGAAAAUUUUAAGAAUAUAC